AACUUUUAGCAAUGGAUCACUUGGCUUUCGCAUCGAUGAAGAACGCAGCGAACGUGCGAAACGUAAUGUGAAUUGCAGAAUUCAGUGAAUCAUCGAAUCUUUGAACGCAUCUUGCGCUCCUUGGCAUUCCGAGGAGCAUGCCUGUUUGAGUGUCGUGAAUACUCUCAACUUCAAUCUUUUUUGAUUGAAGUUGGAUGUGGAUGUUGUUGUGGCUGAUACGACUCAUCCUAAAUGCAUUAGCGAUCUGCCUUGGGAUCACACAAUGUGAUAAGAAAAAAGCAUUGUUGGACUCGAGUCAAUGGUUGCUUCCAACUGUCGAAAGACAAAAGCAUAUAUAUGUCAUUUGACCUCAAAUCAGGUAGGACUACCCGCUGAACUUAAGCAUAUCAAUAAGCGGAGGCU
rnacentral:misc_RNA from 1 species